GGUAAAUUCUAAGUUUUGAAGGAUAUGUAAGAAAUGUAAUCACUGUUGAACACAGUCAUUUUCCUCAAACAUUUCUUACAAAUCCUUCAAACUUAGAAUUUACC